UCUUUUGCCCGUGUAUACAGUUUCACAUUUAGAGCGGGUCCCAUUAUAAGCCUUUUAACAUCAAUUUCAAAUCAAAAUGUGGGUUUUAUGGAAAACUACCCUUCAGAGCCACUUUUCAGCUAAUCUAACCUCUCUUUUUCAAGUAUGUUCCCAUUUUCAAAGUGGACAGUGAGAGCCAGGAGGAAGAAGAAACAAGUGAAAGCAUGGCUCCUGAGGUUGGUCUAUGGCAGAUACUAGGUAUGUGUUUUAGGACAUGCUCUGUUUUCAUGCUCCCGAUUGACUCUCCACUCGCACUGUUUACAAUCUCCCAACUGUCUCAACAUUCGCGCUGCUUUCUCGUCAGUGAAUAUUUAAAGAAAGAUUCUGUAAAACUUGAUACUGUAACAGGUGCAGUAAAGUUUCAUUUGUAAUCAAAUCUAUUAUAAUUGC